GGAUCCAGACUUUGAUCCUGGCUCAGGAUGAACGCUAGCGACAGGCUUAACACAUGCAAGUCGAGGGGCAGCGAGGGAGUGGCAACACUUCUGUCGGCGACCGGCGCACGGGUGAGUAACGCGUAUGCAACCUGCCCUUCACAGGGGGAUAACCGGGAGAAAUUCCGACUAAUACCGCAUACGUCCUCCGGGGGCAUCCCCGGGGGAUGAAAGAGUUAUCGGUGAAGGAUGGGCAUGCGUGAUAUUAGGUAGUUGGCGGGGCAACGGCCCACCAAGCCUACGAUAUCUAGGGGUUCUGAGAGGAAGGUCCCCCACAUUGGUACUGAGACACGGUCCAAACUCCUACGGGAGGCAGCAGUGAGGAAUAUUGGUCAAUGGACGAGAGUCUGA
rnacentral:rRNA from 1 species